UUCACCGUCGUCAGCGCGCGCUGCGUGCUCCGGACAGCGAGAGGAAAAUCCGUUGCGAAACGCCGGCCCGGCGAUCGACGUCGCCGUGCUCCACCGCAGGAAUUACGUGCUCCCGACCCUCUUACGCGAUGAAAAUUGCAGCCCGUAACGUUGCCGAAUUUACCUUCCAAUUCGCUAAUGCUGGCCUGUAUUUUAUCGAGCAACGUCGCGAGCUACUGGACUGGGGAUUCCCCUGGUCCGAGGACUAUCGCUUCUCUUGGUAACUCGAAGCGGAUGGAGGGACUCGCGUGUGACUUGUUAUGAACAUUAGGGUUGGUGUAUUCUUCUUGUAGGUUUUUAGAGAUUUCACCUCUCAGCGGAACAUGGAUAAAGUAUCUUUAGAAGGAUCUACUGCGAGCGAUCAAACUGCUAAAAAAGGCAUGUAGGAGGUAUUUAUAGUGGUCUCAUAAGAAGCUUGGUAAUAUUACGUCCAGCCCACGCUGUAUUCCAGUAACUACGAGGCGAAAACGCUGGAACCUUAUUUCCAGCGUGAACUGUUUUCCCCGCUCGUGCGACGAUCAUUCUCGCGAACGGCGCGCCUCGUCGGGAGACGACGAUAUCGUCAUCCGUAGCGACAUCGUUCCCCCAGCGACUGUGGCCGGAAGAAGAGGAGUGAGUUAAGGGGAUGCUGCGCUAGUCGCUUCCUUAGGUGUCAAGCCACGCUGACAAGCUCGCAUUCGUCUGAAACCACCGGUAAGACACGCGUGAUGUUAUCGGCAAGCAAGUUUAGAGCAGUAAGACUCGCUAGGAUGUUGACGUGGAGGAAGAUUUCAAGGAUAGCGGGCCGAGUGUGCCGCUCCGAUCGGGUCAUAGCGUGGGCAGAGACACACGUAAGCUCCACACACGCACACACACAGACACACACACGGCCACACAAUAGGGGAGCGAAGCGCGUGUGUGUGUACCAUGUUCCGCCCGGCGGUUGUUGCGGUGGCUGGCGUGUGCGCGCCGACGCCGCGUCAUAUCAGCCCCGUAUCAACGCGGACGGAGGGUGGUUUUCGCACAGACGUCGGGGCGGAAAGGGGAGCGCAGAGCGCGGCGGAGGGGGCCGGCGUGGG